UACGUAGGGUGCGAGCGUUGUCCGGAAUUAUUGGGCGUAAAGAGCUCGUAGGCGGUGUGUCACGUCGUUCGUGAAAACCGUGCAGCUUAACUGUGGGCGUGCGGUCGAUACGGGCAUCACUGGAGUUCGGCAGGGGAGACUGGAAGUUCCUGGUGUAGCGGUGAAAUGCGCAGAUAUCAGGAGGAACACCGGUGGCGAAGGCGGGUCUCUGGGCAU
rnacentral:rRNA from 1 species